rnacentral:misc_RNA from 1 species
GCAAACUUGGUCAUUUAGAGGAAGUAAAAGUCGUAACAAGGUCUCCGUUGGUGAACCAGCGGAGGGAUCAUUAGCGAGUUUCCCAACUCCCAAACCCUGUGAACAUACCUACCGUUGCCUCGGCGGGUGCCUCGCUGACGCGGGGCGCGCGGCCUGCCGGCGGCCCAACCAACCAGGACUAUUUACUUUUGAGCUCUGAACACAACUAAACAAGUUAAAACUUUCAACAACGGAUCUCUUGGUUCUGGCAUCGAUGAAGAACGCAGC